ensembl:lncRNA
CUGUGGUCAUUUCCUUUCUUGCUAUUUCUCUUGUCCUGCAUAAUUUGAAUAUAAAACAUUUGUACUUUUGAGGCAUCAAAUCACAGGAAGAGGGUUGCAGUACUGCUGGGGCUGCCACUGUCCAUGCGGGAGAAUCCAUCUCAGUUCUUACAGAUCCGUGAGCACACAGAUUCUGAAGAAGAGUUAAUCAAGGGCGUGACUGUUGGAAUCAGUACAGUUGUGGAUGACGCGAUGGACCCUAUUCCGUGUGACUGCGGUGAUGUAGCCCUUGUAAUGGAAGAAGUUGUCGUUCUACGCAAUCUUGAUCUUUUUAGCUGAUAUGGAAAACACUGAUGCAACUUUUGGCACCUCAUCAACCCCAACUACUUCCCUGGAAAGUUGUGGCGUUUGGUGAACGAUCCCCAGAUUUGCUCAAUCUGGUGGGACGACAGCGGGGAAGGGAUACUUAUUCAUCAGGAAACAUUCGAAGCCGAAGUACUAUUGUCCCAACCCACACAUUUGUCUGAGUACUUCAGGACAACUGACUUCAUAAGUUUCAUUCGCCAGCUGAACCUGUACGGCUUCAAAAAAACAACGCACGAACAUCUCGGACAAGCAGUCGUACAACCCUUCGAUUAAAGCCCAACUGCACCAUUUUCAUAACCCGUACUUCAAACGUGAUAAGCCCGAGCUCCUGCUCGAUAUAAAGCG